UAACGUAGCUUUGGUGCGUUAUUGUAUUUUGAAUGGCUUUAGCAACCAUAUUUUAUAGAAAAAUUAUGGUUGCUAAAGCCAUUCAAAGUACAAUAACGCACCAAAUCUC